CCAGGGGACAUCUUGCAUUUUAAUUAGUGCCAGACACCGUUUCUGUCUGGAGUUCGUAAAAAUUUCAUCAAAGGAGGAUUUUCUCGGUGAAAAGUUGAGAUACGGAGGGACCGGAUAGAUCAGAGACUGAAAUAUUCAGUCGGGAAACUAUGCCUCCCCCGAUUAUCGAUCAAAUCGACUCCACGGCCUCGAAAAAAAAAAAAUCGAUCAAUCACAUGUCGCCGGAAUGGAAAAGACUGUAAAAGCUUCCGCUCCAGCAAAUGCGUUGAAGACGAUACACAAACUGGAGAGAGAGAAAAAAAAAAGGAGGACAGAGCGAAGAGAUUGGACAAACAUCCGGUUCUAAUGUACUUCCGGCUGAUGAAAGGGGUGAAUGUUAUCCAAAUCUCCUGGCUCGAUGUCCACAGGGAGUCACCCCUUUUCUAAGUCUCUUCCCUGUCUUGGAAAAUUGCAUGUACCCGGUGCUGUGACAGCUGGAGAUGACUCCUUGGAGAUCGCCAAGGAUUCUUCAGGAAUAAUUGGUACCCAUUUCGUGAUUUAUACCUAAUGUUGUAGUUUCCCGUCGGAGGGAUAACUCCGGAGGAAAAUCGCGGCUUAAUCACGGGAGCAAUCUCCUUGUUUUUGGCGAAUGCGAACAACAAUCGGAGAUAAUACAGCGAUUUCUGGUUUUUAUCAAUUUGUUAAUCUGAUAAUUUAAUAUUGAUUUGAUAAUACAUUAAAUCAUUAAUUUUCAACUAUUUGGUAAAUCAGUCAAAGAUGAGAUUUUUUGUUAUCAUCGAUUUUUUCUAUUUCAUUUUUUAUAAUGCAAUUAAA